rnacentral:rRNA from 1 species
GACGAACGCUGGCGGCGUGCUUAACACAUGCAAGUCGAACGAUGACGACCGAGCUUGCUCGGUCUGAUUAGUGGCGAACGGGUGAGUAACACGUGAGCAACCUGCCCUUCACUCUGGGAUAACCUCGGGAAAUCGGGGCUAAUACCGGAUAUGAGCUCCUGUCGCAUGGCGGGUGUUGGAAAGUUUUUCGGUGAAGGAUGGGCUCGCGGCCUAUCAGUUUGUUGGUGAGGUAGUGGCUCACCAAGGCGAUGACGGGUAGCCGGCCUGAGAGGGCGACCGGCCACACUGGGACUGAGACACGGCCCAGACUCCUACGGGAGGCAGCAGUGGGGAAUAUUGCACAAUGGGCGAAAGCCUGAUGCAGCGACGCCGCGUGAGGGAUGACGGCCUUCGGGUUGUAAACCUCUUUCAACAGGGAAGAAGCGAAAGUGACGGUACCUGCAGAAGAAGCGCCGGCUAACUACGUG